AGUGAACGCUGGCGGCGUGCCUAAUACAUGCAAGUCGAACGGACAAGUAAGAGCUUGCUCUUAUGAGUUAGUGGCGCACGGGUGAGUAAUGUAUAGCUAAUCUGCCCUACACUAGAGGACAACAGUUGGAAACGACUGCUAAUACUCUAUACUCCUCUCUAGCAUAAGUUAGAUAGGGAAAGUUUUUCGGUGUAGGAUGAGGCUAUAUUGUAUCAGCUAGUUGGUGAGGUAAUGGCUCACCAAGGCUAUGACGCAUAACUGGUCUGAGAGGAUGAUCAGUCACACUGGAACUGAGACACGGUCCAGACUCCUACGGGAGGCAGCAGUAGGGAAUAUUGCUCAAUGGGGGAAACCCUGAAGCAGCAACGCCGCGUGGAGGAUGACACUUUUCGGAGCGUAAACUCCUUUUGUUAGGGAAGAACAAUGACGGUACCUAACGAAUAAGCACCGGCU
rnacentral:rRNA from 1 species